rnacentral:misc_RNA from 1 species
UCUCCGUUGGUGAACCAGCGGAGGGAUCAUUACAGAGUUUUCUAACUCCCAAACCCAUGUGAACUUACCAGUGUUGCCUCGGCGGGCUUCUGGCUCGCCGAUGGCUAAUAUUAAACUCUUGAAUUACAUUGUAAUCUGAGCGUUAUUUUUAAAAUAAGUUAAAACUUUCAACAACGGAUCUCUUGGUUCUGGCAUCGAUGAAGAACGCAGC